AAACGGCCGCGGUAUCCCUAACCGUGCAAAGGUAGCGUAAUCACUUYGUCUUAUAAAUAAAGACCCGUAUGAAUGGCUAAAUGAGUAUUUAACUGUCUCCUUUAACUAAUCAGUGAAACUGAUCUCUCAGUACAAAAGCUGAAAUAAAAACAUAAGACGAGAAGACCCUGUGGAGCUUUAAAUUUUAACAAAGUAUUAAAACAUAUUUAUGGUAAAAAAUUUUUAGUUGGGGCGACUUUGGAGCAAAACCUAACCUCCAAGAAAAGGUGCCACCUAAACCAGGCUGACCGGCCAAACAUCUAGACCCAGUAUUUUUUACUGAUUAAUGAACCGAGUUACCCCAGGGAUAACAGCGCCAUCUUCUUCAAGAGUYCCCAUCGACAAGAAGGUUUACGACCUCGAUGUUGGAUCAGGACACCCAAAUGGUGCAACCGCUAUUAAAGGUUCGUUUGUUCAACGAUUAAUGUCCUACGUGAUCUGA
rnacentral:rRNA from 1 species